UACGGAGGGUGCAAGCGUUGCUCGGAAUUAUUGGGCGUAAAGGGUAGGUAGGUGGUCUCAUUUGUCAGGGGUGAAAGCCUUGGGCUUAACCUAAGAAGUGCCCCUGAAACGGUGAGACUGGAGUCCUGGAGAGGGUCGUGGAAUUCCCGGUGUAGCGGUGAAAUGCGUAGAGAUCGGGAGGAACACCAGAGGCGAAGGCGGCGACCUGGACAGGCACUGACACUCAACUACGAAAGCGUGGGGAGCGAACAGG
rnacentral:rRNA from 1 species